UACGUAGGGUGCAAGCGUUGUCCGGAAUUAUUGGGCGUAAAGAGCUCGUAGGCGGUUUGUCGCGUCGAAUGUGAAAACCCGGGGCUCAACCCCGGGCCUGCAUUCGAUACGGGCAGACUAGAGGUAUGCAGGGGAGAACGGAAUUCCUGGUGUAGCGGUGAAAUGCGCAGAUAUCAGGAGGAACACCGGUGGCGAAGGCGGUUCUCUGGGCAUGUCCUGACGCUGAGGAGCGAAAGUGUGGGGAGCGAACAGG
rnacentral:rRNA from 1 species